AUUACUAUUUCAAUUAAAUUCAACGUAUUAGAUUGUAUAUUUCCUUCCUUAGCUGCUACACAAACAGAAUGUAAGUGCUAAAAGAAAGAGUAGCACUUGAAUGCUUAAUUCAAAGCUUCUAACAUUUAUUCCCACAUCAACCUAGCAGCCCAAGCAAGGCCCUUUAAAUCCCUAAUCAGCAUUCGUAUUAUGCAACUUCAAAUUGGAAAAACUACGCCUAUCAGCUAAAACUAUA
rnacentral:misc_RNA from 1 species